CCCAAUUUCCUCACGAAGCUUGCCAUCAAGCUGUUAACUUUUCCCCUGCAUCUGUCGAUGGCCACCGGGUCCCUCGUGUGCCGCCACCGACGCCUCGGAACGAUCUCAGACCACACCAGCAUCACCCCAGGAAGCAGAUCGAACAACCUGUUCAGGUCCUGCUUCAUCCAUUUAACCAACCUACGUUGCGGAAUGAGGCCCAGGUCAUUGCCCCCC